AGGGUUUGAUUCUGGCUCAGGACGAACGCUGGCGGCGCGCCUAACACAUGCAAGUCGAACGAGCGAGAGAGAGCUUGCUUUCUCGAGCGAGUGGCGAACGGGUGAGUAACGCGUGAGGAACCUGCCUCAAAGAGGGGGACAACAGUUGGAAACGACUGCUAAUACCGCAUAAGCCCACGGCUCGGCAUCGAGCAGAGGGAAAAGGAGCAAUCCGCUUUGAGAUGGCCUCGCGUCCGAUUAGCUAGUUGGUGAGGUAACGGCCCACCAAGGCGACGAUCGGUAGCCGGACUGAGAGGUUGAACGGCCACAUUGGGACUGAGACACGGCCCAG
rnacentral:rRNA from 1 species